AGGAUUAUCAAGACCAAAAGCUCAUGGUGUAAUAUUUAGAGAUGCAUUAGGAAAAAAACACACAGCAUAUUUAAGAAGAGGAGAAAUGAAUGAAGUAAUAGUAUCAUCUGGGGCACUUGGAAGCCCACAAAUGUUAAUGUUAAGUGGUGUAGGCCCAUCAGAACACUUAAAGGCCCAUAACAUUACAGUUGUAUUGGAUCAGCCCAAUGUUGGACAAAACAUGAUGGAUAAUCCAAUGAAUGCAAUAUUUGUGCCAUCACCUUUACCUGUUGAAGUUUCUCUUAUACAAGUUGUGGGUAUUACAAGAUUUGGAACUUAUAUUGAAGCUGCCUCCGGCGAGAAUUUCUCCGGUUAUCGUUCUAGUCGGAGUGAUUAUGGAAUGUUCUCCCCGAAGAUUGGUCAGCUAUCAACAGUGCCACCAAAGCAAAGAACACCAGAAGCCUUAGAAAAGGCUAUAAAUUCAAUGAAUGCACUAGAUGCAGCAGCAUUUAGAGGAGGAUUCAUAUUAGAAAAAAUAAUGGGCCCAAUAUCCACUGGACAUUUGGAGCUCCGAACCCGGAACCCGAAUGACAACCCAUCAGUAACAUUUAAUUAUUUCAAAGAGCCAGAAGAUUUACA
rnacentral:misc_RNA from 1 species